GACGGCUUCUGGUCUGGGGCUCGCAGGCCCGGGCUCUCCGACGGCUCAGAAUCCCGCCGAGCCGCGGUGCGAGACUCCAGCCGCCGAAGUGGCACCGGCGUGCUGGGACCCGAGGAGGCAUUCAUUGCUCAUCGUGAUCGGCGACAUCGGAACCGAGAGCCAGCUGAGGGCUGUGCGGGCCCACCUAGAGCAAGGGAUUCUCUCCUGGAACAUUGACCUAUCAUCUUUUGACUUGAACCAGCAGUUGAGACUCUUCAUUACUUGGCACCUAGCUCACUUCUCCUCAGAGGUUAAAGGUUAGGACUAAUGUCAUUUGUCUCAGUCCUUUGGGUGAGGGCUGGUCGUGGAGGAGCCAAGGUCUCUAGAAGAACUGGCCUUGUGGGAGGCUCAAGUGAAUUAAAGGGAGGGACAACUCCCUGGUGAUGGUCUCUGAGCUGCACUGUGUAGCAAUGCCUCCAUACUUAGCACACUUUGCACACACAUAGUGUGAUGGUGGAGGAUACCUGGAGAACACAGUUUCUCUAGGAAGAGGGCUGUUUGUGGACAGCUGUUGGCAUGUGCUAAGGAAAUGAGGUACUCCUCUGGACCAGUCAGUUACCUCCUCCCUGCAGAAUUCUAUUCUACAUUUGUGUUCCUCUUCCCAAAUACCCCAGCCUCUCUGCUUCCAUUUCUAGAGAUCCCAGAAUGACCCAUGCACCUUCCUAGUCCUUUGUAUAGCAUAGCCCACCUCCAGGAUUCAGGGUUCCUGUUUCCCACUUUGGCUUAGCCAACAGAUCUCUAGAGCAGAGCAAAAUCCUGGUACCAAGCUGGGUGCAGUGGCACAUGCCUGCAGUCCCAGCUACUCUGGGAGGCCAAGGCAGAAGGACCACAAGUUUGAGACCACCCUGGGCAACUUAGGAAGACCCUAUCUCAAAA
rnacentral:lncRNA from 1 species